rnacentral:tRNA from 1 species
AGAAAAGUAUUUAAAAAAGAUAAAAUCUAACUUGCAAUUAGAAAUUGAUUAUUCCUUUUCUA